rnacentral:rRNA from 1 species
UACGUAGGGUGCUAGCGUUGUCCGGAUUUAUUGGGCGUAAAGGGCUCGUAGGCGGCGUGUCGCGUCGGGGAGUGAAAGCCCGCUGCUUAACGGCGGGUUGGCUUCCGGUACGGGCAUCGCUGGAGUGCGGCAGGGGAGACUGGAAUUCCUGGUGUAGCGGUGGAAUGCGCAGAUAUCAGGAGGAACACCGGUGGCGAAGGCGGGUCUCUGGGCCGAUACUGACACUGAGGAGCGAAAGCGUGGGGAGCGAACAGG